rnacentral:rRNA from 1 species
UAGGGAAUCUUCCACAAUGGACGCAAGUCUGAUGGAGCAACGCCGCGUGAGUGAAGAAGAUCUUCGGAUCGUAAAACUACUGUUGUUAGAGAAGAACACGAGUGAGAGUAACUGUUCAUUCGAUGACGGUAUCUAACCAGCAAGUCACGGCUAACUACGUGCCAG